rnacentral:lncRNA from 1 species
UUAUUUCCUACAAGUCAUUUAUUUAUAUUAACAUCCCUGGUGAGAAAAAAUCUUUAUUUUUUUUUUUUUUUUUUAACGAAGAAAAUAAAUUUCGUCUUACCAACUAGUACAUUUUUAAUAUAUAUAUUGUCUCAGGAAAAAAAUGGUUGUAAGUUAGGUUUUGAUGUGACAAUCUUAUUCUUAACUCACCAAAAAAAAAAAAAAAAAAAAAGUUAGCCAUGCAUAGAGAAGUUUAUUAGUCAUGUGACUCAUGUCUGAGCAACUUACGUGGCUACUUUUCAAUAGUUGAAUUUCGAAGAAGCGACUUGGUCGACG